rnacentral:rRNA from 1 species
AACGAACGCUGGCGGCAUGUCUAACACAUGCAAGUCGAACGAACCCUUCGGGGUUAGUGGCGCACGGGUGCGUAACGCGUGGGAAUCUGCCCUUUGCUUCGUAAUAACAGUUAGAAAUGACUGCUAGUACCGGAUGAUGUCUUCGGACCAAAGAUUUAUCGGCAAAGGAUGAGCCCGCGGAGGAUUAGGUAGUUGGUGGGGUAAAGGCCUACCAAGCCGACGAUCCUUAGCUGGUCUGAGAGGAUGAUCAGCCACACUGGGACUGAGACACGGCCCAGACUCCUACGGGAGGCAGCAGUGGGGAAUAUUGGACAAUGGACGCAAGUCUGAUCCAGCAAUGCCGCGUGAGUGAUGAAGGCCUUAGGGUUGUAAAGCUCUUUUACCAGGGAUGAUAAUGACAGUACCUGGAGAAUAAGCUCCGGCGAACUCCGUGCCAGCAGCCGCCGUAAUAC